rnacentral:rRNA from 1 species
AUGCACCCCUACAAAACCACGGAAAUCCAUAAUUUUUCACAACACAGAGGAAGAGCACACAGACACAGACAAGCAGUAGACCACGCGCCCACAGCCUCAGCCUCAGGUCUCCCUUCGCGCACCGCAGCCACCACCAAGUGCAACCAAUCCCCCGACAAAACCCCAUCCACUCCUUUAUCAGCGUUUCCCUCCCUUUCCUCCGCUCCCCUCCAUCCAUCCUCAGCCGCCUCUUCGCCGGCCGGCCAGCCAGCCAUGGCAAAUGCUUCCCUCCAGUCCUUCCUCCCCCAGCACCACCAUUCUUUCCUCAGCAGCGCCACCCACGACGGCUCCCCUCCCGCGCUCCUCAAGCUCACCACCACCACCGCCAGCAACAGCAUUUCAUUCAAGCUCUUCGCCAGCGGCUCCUCCUCGGUGACCACAACCGCCAACUCGCCGGCCCCGACUCCGGCGGCGACAACCUCGCCGCCCACCCCCUCGCUGGAGCUCCUGGGCCAGCAGCUGGCGGCGGGGGACUACCGGCAGGCCGACGAGACCACCCGGGCCCUCCUCAUCGUCCUCGCCGGCGAGGCCGCGCGCCGCCGAGGGUACGUCUUCUUCUCGGAGGUCCAGUUCAUCUCCGUGGAGGACCUGCGCGCCGUGGACGCGCUCUGGCUGGAGCACAGCGGCGGCAGGAUCGGGUGGAUGAAGAAGCUGGACACCGAGGUGGAGCAGUUCAACUACAGGGCCUUCCCGGACGAGUUCAUCUGGGAGCUCACCGACGACACGCCGGAGGGCCACCUGCCCCUCACCAACGCCCUCAGGGGCACGCGACUCCUGGAGAACAUCUUCACCCACCCCGCCUUCGACUGCGAGGAAGAGGAGGCAGCUGCAGCAGAUGAGGAGGCUGGCACGGGCAGUGCCACUGGUCAGAAUAACAAGGAUGACAAGAAAAGCAGGGGGAGGUCAAAGAGUUUGACAGAUUUCAAGCCCGACUACUCCUUUUAA